GACGAACGCUGGCGGCGUGCUUAACACAUGCAAGUCGAACGGAAAGGCCCUGCUUUUGUGGGGUGCUCGAGUGGCGAACGGGUGAGUAACACGUGAGUAACCUGCCCUUGACUUUGGGAUAACUUCAGGAAACUGGGGCUAAUACCGGAUAGGAGCUCCUGCUGCAUGGUGGGGGUUGGAAAGUUUCGGCGGUUGGGGAUGGACUCGCGGCUUAUCAGCUUGUUGGUGGGGUAGUGGCUUACCAAGGCUUUGACGGGUAGCCGGCCUGAGAGGGUGACCGGCCACAUUGGGACUGAGAUACGGCCCAGACUCCUACGGGAGGCAGCAGUGGGGAAUAUUGCACAAUGGGCGGAAGCCUGAUGCAGCAACGCCGCGUGCGGGAUGACGGCCUUCGGGUUGUAAACCGCUUUCGCCUGUGACGAAGCGUGAGUGACGGUAAUGGGUAAAGAAGCACCGGCUAACUACGUGCCAGCAGCCGCGGUGAUACGUAGGGUGCGGGCGUUGUCCGGAUUUAUUGGGCGUAAAGGGCUCGUAGGUGGUUGAUCGCGUCGGAAGUGUAAUUUUGGGGCUUAACCCUGAGCGUGCUUUCGAUACGGGUUGACUUGAGGAAGGUAGGGGAGAAUGGAAUUCCUGGUGGAGCGGUGGAAUGCGCAGAUAUCAGGAGGAACACCAGUGGCGAAGGCGGUUCUCUGGGCCUUUCCUGACGCUGAGGAGCGAAAGCGUGGGGAGCGAACAGGCUUAGAUACCCUGGUAGUCCACGCCGUAAACGGUGGGUACUAGGUGUGGGGUCCAUUCCACGGGUUCCGUGCCGUAGCUAACGCUUUAAGUACCCCGCCUGGGGAGUACGGCCGCAAGGCUAAAACUCAAAGGAAUUGACGGGGCCCCGCACAAGCGGCGGAGCAUGCGGAUUAAUUCGAUGCAACGCGUAGAACCUUACCUGGGUUUGACAUGGAUCGGGAGCGCUCAGAGAUGGGUGUGCCUCUUUUGGGGUCGGUUCACAGGUGGUGCAUGGCUGUCGUCAGCUCGUGUCGUGAGAUGUUGGGUUAAGUCCCGCAACGAGCGCAACCCUUGUUCACUGUUGCCAGCACGUUAUGGUGGGGACUCAGUGGAGACCGCCGGGGUCAACUCGGAGGAAGGUGGGGAUGACGCCAAGUCAUCAUGCCCCUUAUGUCCAGGGCUUCACGCAUGCUACAAUGGCUGGUACAGAGAGUGGCGAGCCUGUGAGGGUGAGCGAAUCUCGGAAAGCCGGUCUCAGUUCGGAUUGGGGUCUGCAACUCGACCUCAUGAAGUCGGAGUCGCUAGUAAUCGCAGAUCAGCAACGCUGCGGUGAAUACGUUCCCGGGGCU
rnacentral:rRNA from 1 species